CUAAGACACCAGACCUUUGACGAGGCUCAGGUAACCUCUGACAGUGCAUAUGGUGCUAACAAAGAGUCCCUGUCAGCCUUUGUAGAAGACUGAGACUUCAGUCAGCAUUGACUUUCCAGAAGAUGAGGAAGUGUUGGUAAAGAGCUAGACUGUGGUUCUUCGGAUCUAUCAGUUCAUGGAGGAACAGAAGAAACUCAGCAUGCAGAUAAAAAAAGAUGAAAACAGAAGGAGCUGCAUCCCAGAAGUUGUGAUCACACAGGCAGAUGAGACCUAGCUACUUUUUCAGUUCCAAAGAUCUUGUGUGUGGAACCAGAGGUCAUAAGCUCUACUUCCCAUGCUACUGGUAGCUGAGGACUAUCCUGUCUGUGUCAGUAUGCAGUUAGGGAUUAUUUCAAUUCUCCACUGAUCACCCAAGGAAGGAUUCUGAGCUUAGUUGCCUAAUGGGACAGGACAUUUUUGAAUGACAGAAAUGGAUAUCCUUUUCAAGCUGAAUUGACGGGAAGGAAAUGGAGCAAAAUAGAUCUCCAGUGCUGCCCCACAUAUCUUGGUACAUCUUUGCUGAAGGAUGUUGGCACUUGGAGGAAUGCAGCUAACAAAAUGACAUUUUGUAUCAAAAUAUGUGGCCUGUUCUCUCUCUCUCUCCCUAUUUUAUUCACUUCUCUUCAGAGUACCUGGAAUUAAGGCACUUCACUACCCAGAUGUGCUAACUCUCUCCUUUCUGAUUGGCACUGUAGACAGCUUCCAGUGUCAUUGUAAAUCUCAGUUGGCACUGUUUGUAUCAGUCUUCCUGCAUCCUAUUAUAAGAUGAACAUUUCAUUCCACUUCUUUGUUUUCCCUAAGUUUUCAUUCUCUGAGAGUAAACUGUUUGUGCCAAAAUCAGUGCAUUAAUUCAGAAAGGCUAGCAGCAGUAUGAAGUCAGUCUUAAGGCAAUAACAUUAAAAGCAAUUAUAAUAUUGCUGGUUUGUAGAGAACCAAAUAUUUAAUGUUGUAUCUGUAGUAAGGGGCACUUUCCCAGGAUAGACACAAGUUGGUGGAAGGUCUUCAUCAUUUUCAUUGGGCUGCAGUUUCUGAAGGAGACUCAGAGGAUGGACACACGUGCAUUUGGACCUGCUUCAACCAGGGUUAAAGCUGGAGCAGUUUUGCUACAUUUGUAUUGUUCCUGGCUUUUCUACACAUAACAAUUAGAACAUAACAGCUGCCACCCUUUUGAAAUGUCCCCCUUUUUAAAUGUCUCCAAAUGUACAUUUGUCCAUACCCUCAGGCAAUUAGCUGCUCAGCUUCCCUGGAAAUUAAUUUGGAGUUAAGAGGCCAAACUCCUUUAGACCUCUUAGAAAAAUAUGUUGUUCUCACUUCUUUCCUACUUGAGAAAAAUAUGUGACUACAACCCAGGCACAUUUUCUUCAUCUAGGAAAGCUAAAAGGUAGGUCACUUUUUAAAAUCAUCCAACAUAC